UGCCAGCAGCCGCGGUAAUUCCAUCAUGACUAACUCAUUCUUACGGUGCUGCAGUUAAAGCGUCCGUAGCUGGCGGCCUGCCGACUCGAGGAACUCUCGACGCCCAACGUAGCGAGCGCGGUGAGCUGCAGCGAGUUACGGCAUUAACUACUAUCGCUAUAGGACAGGGGAAGGCUCCUUCUAUUAUAGGGGGACAGGUGAAAUAGGAUGAUGCCUAUAGGAGGAUCAAGUGCGCAGGCACUGAGUCGUCCCCGGUUCGUUGGUCAAGGGCGUUAUCGUGGGGCUAGACGAUGAUUAGAGACCGUUUUACUCCACGUCGUAAACGAUGCUACCUCGCUGUGCGCUGUUCAAACACGUGCUUAGCGGAGAGAAAUCGAAGUGUACGACCCCUGGGGGGAGUAUGCUCGCAAGGGUGAAACUUGAAAGUAUUGACGGAAAGAUACCACCAGACGUGGAGUCUGCGGCU
rnacentral:rRNA from 1 species